GACGAACGCUGGCGGCGUGCUUAACACAUGCAAGUCGAGCGAUGAAACUACUUCGGUAGUGAAUUAGCGGCGAACGGGUGAGGAACACGUGAGGAAUCUGCCUUCAACACUGGGAUAACUCCGGGAAACCGGGGCUAAUACCGGAUACGAGCCUUGAUCGCAUGAUCGAGGCUGGAAAGUUUUUCGGUUGAAGAUGACCUCGCGGCCUAUCAGCUUGUUGGUGAGGUAAUGGCUCACCAAGGCGACGACGGGUAGCCGGCCUGAGAGGGCGACCGGCCACACUGGGACUGAGACACGGCCCAGACUCCUACGGGAGGCAGCAGUGGGGAAUAUUGGACAAUGGGCGCAAGCCUGAACCAGCCAUGCCGCGUGGAUGAUGAAGGCCUUAGGGUUGUAAAAUCCUUUCAACGGGGGACGAGUAAUGACGGUACCCGUAGAAGAAGCCCCGGCUAACUUCGUG
rnacentral:rRNA from 1 species